CCUUCCAGUACUUCUGAGAGAGCUUCCUCACUAACAUUUUCGGAUCGUACUGCAGAUUGCCUAACCUUAAGUGCCAAUCUUGGAACACUGGUCCUCUUUUUCUUUUGGAUAUCUAGUGUGACAAACUUACCAUGUUUUCUCUUUGGGCUAUUAUAUGCAACAGCAUCAGUUUCAUUAUCUUUGUCUUCUUGCCUCCAACUUUUUGUUUUGUGCAACCGUCAAGAUUCAGAUGUGAA